CCUACGGGUGGCUGCAGUGGGGAAUAUUGCACAAUGGGGGAAACCCUGAUGCAGCGACGCCGCGUGAGUGAAGAAGGACUUCGUUACGUAAAGCUCUAUCAGCAGGGGAGAAAUACUGACCUUACGGUCAGCAGACGGUACCUGCGUAAGAAAACCCGGCCAACUACGUGCCAGCAGCCGCGGUAAUACUUAGGGGGCAAGCUUUAUCCGGAUUUACUGGGUGUAAAGGGAGCGUAGACGGUGCGCCAAGUCUGGAGGGAAAUGCCGCAGGUUAAAUGCGGAACUGCCUUGGAAACUGGUGAACUAGAGUGGGGGAGGGGUAAGCGGAAUGCGUAGUGUAGCGGUGAAAUGCGUAGAUAUUAGGAGGAACACCGGUGGCGAAGGCGGCAUACUGGACCGUAACUGACGCUGAGGCUCGAAAGCGUGGGGAGCAAACAGGAUUAGAUACCCGAGUAGUC
rnacentral:rRNA from 1 species